CGGAAAGCCUGAUGCAGCAACGCCGCGUGCGGGAUGACGGCCUUCGGGUUGUAAACCGCUUCAGCUCCGACGAAGCGCAAGUGACGGUAGGAGCAGAAGAAGGACCGGCCAACUACGUGCCAGCAGCCGCGGUGAUACGUAGGGUCCGAGCGUUGUCCGGAAUUAUUGGGCGUAAAGGGCUUGUGGGCGGUUUGUCACGUCGGAAGUGAAAACUCAGGGCUUAACCCUGAGCCUGCUUCCGAUACGGGCAAACUAGAGGGAUGCAGGGGAGGAUGGAAUUCCUGGUGGAGCGGUGGAAUGCGCAGAUAUCAGGAGGAACACCAGUGGCGAAGGCGGUUCUCUGGGCAUUUCCUGACGCUGAGAAGCGAAAGCGUGGGGAGCAAACAGGCUUAGAUACCCUGGUAGUCCACGCCGUAAACGGUGGGCACUAGGUGUGGGACUCAUUCCACGAGUUCCGUGCCGUAGCUAACGCAUUAAGUGCCCCGCCUGGGGAGUACGGCCGCAAGGCUA
rnacentral:rRNA from 1 species